rnacentral:tRNA from 4 species
GUGGCUAUAGCUCAGUUGGUAGAGCGCCGGCUUGUGGUGCCGGAUGUCGCGGGUUCAAGUCCCGUUAGCCACCCCA